GUAGACUUUCCAUCCCUCUUCUCUGACAUCUUUGAGUUGUGACUCCUUUCCUCAAGGCUGCCUCAUACAUAUAAAGUGGCUACUAGAACUCCAAACGGCAUUUUCUCAUUCCUAGUAGGAAGAAGGGAAAACACAAGGAACAAAAGGAGCAUGCCAGCUGAGUCAUUGCCUAUUUUUAAGGAGCAUUACCAGAAGACACACCCAACAACUUAUGUUUGCAUCUCAUUGGCUAGGAUUUAGUCUUAUGCACCUCUCAUCUUCUAGGAAUCCUGGGAAAUCUAGUAUAUUUUAGGAAAAGAAGAUUUGGUGUCUACACUGCUAGUACUCCAGUUCAGCUUUCGCUGACCAUGACUCUAUUUGGCUAACUGCACAGAUUUGCUGAUAGCUCACCAGUUAUCAGCUACUCUGCUAAAUGAAUAGAAUGAACCAGACACAGUCUUCACGCUGUGGCAGCUCUCAGUCUAAUGUCAGGGAGGCAAGCAAGUGAACCAGACAGAACAAUACUGUGCGAUGAGCAUCAAACAUGUUGAAAGAACAUGACAGAAGCAUAUGCUCAUUCAAAGGAGGAGCCGGAGCUUCUAGUAAAAGCCAACAGAGAGGGGCAGCUGGAAAGAGGAGAAGAGGAUUAGAAGAGCUUUUCCUCAGUGGCAUUUUUGAGACUUCAAAAUGCUCUUAGAAGCUACUUAACAACAAAAUCAGUUGAUCCCAUUGUUGCAGCUCAGAAUUCUGUUUCAGUAUAUCGCAGCUGAGUAAGGAAGCUAAGGCGCUGGAGUGGUAUUAAUGCAUCACCCAUGGAUAUGUCCAAAAGCUCUUAAUUAUAGCACCUUAAAGAAGUCUUACAAAAAUCCUCCAGCCUUCCACAAGACCUGGGUCUCCUGGGGCCAGGACCACCAAAGA
rnacentral:lncRNA from 1 species